rnacentral:rRNA from 1 species
CCUACGGGUGGCAGCAGUGGGGAAUAUUGCACAAUGGGGGAAACCCUGAUGCAGCAACGCCGCGUGGGUGAAGGAGCGUUUCGGCGCGUAAAGCCCUGUCAGCGGGGAAGAGUAGAAGACGGUACCUCUUGAAUAAGCCACGGCUAACUACGUGCCAGCAGCCGCGGUAAUACGUAGGUGGCAAGCGUUGUCCGGAUUUACUGGGGGUAAAGGGCGUGUAGCCGGGCCGGCAAGUCAGAUGUGAAAUCCCAAGGCUCAACCUUGGAACUGCAUUUGAAACUGUUGGUCUGGAGUAUCGGAGAGGCAGGCGGAAUUCCUAGUGUAGCGGUGAAAUGCGUAGAUAUUAGGAGGAACACCAGUGGCGAAGGCGGCCUGCUGGACGACAACUGACGGUGAGGCGCGAAAGCGUGGGGAGCAAGCAGGAUUAGAUACCCUAGUAGUC